ACAAACUUAUUGUCCGUCUACCCUUGGUAAAUCGAGAUGACCACGAUAAUGAACCCACUUCAGUUUGUCGAUAAAGUGAAACACGUUUCGCAUACAGAGUAUUAUGAUGGCAUCCGAUUUAUUUUGUUAACAACAGUCAUUUCGGACUAAAGAGAUUUCUAAUUGUUUGACACACUCCGCUUACUUUUUAACAGUUUCCUGUUCGUCACACCGACCAAAGUGUUCUUGACUAAGGGCACUGGAUAAGACAAGAGUGGGGGGCUCUACUGAUGGCUCUACCUAAUGCUGCACGUGACUACGACUGUCAACUGACACCAACAACAUGUGGCUAGGAAGGACAGCGACUUUGUCCACCAAGACAUCAACGAUCACCUGACACGGAUUAUGGCGGCCAGUGACCACGCCGAGUAAAGCAACAGAGGCUACCAGGAUUACUUACAGGUUUCCCUGUCGUUACUCUACCAACUAUUUCUCGACUAAUGAGACUGGAUUAACAGACUGGCAUGACCACCACUGCCAUCAACGUGGUCAGCUGAUGUUGCUCGGUGACUACGACGAUCACACCAUCGACCUCAACAACAGCUGGCUU
rnacentral:lncRNA from 1 species